UCUGACACUGCUGGUCUGUAGUACCA
rnacentral:piRNA from 1 species